rnacentral:pre_miRNA from 1 species
GCGUGAACACAAGCGUGAUACCGUGCUAGGCUGGACUCGGGCAUUAUGCUAGUGUUCGCGGGG